rnacentral:rRNA from 1 species
CAGGACGAACGUUUGCGGCGUGCUUAACACAUGCAAGUCGAACGAAGAGCGAUGGAAGCUUGCUUCUAUCAAUCUUAGUGGCGAACGGGUGAGUAACGCGUAAUCAACCUGCCCUUCAGAGGGGGACAACAGUUGGAAACGACUGCUAAUACCGCAUACGAUCUAAUCUCGGCAUCGAGGAUGGAUGAAAGGUGGCCUCUAUUUAUAAGCUAUCACUGAAGGAGGGGAUUGCGUCUGAUUAGCUAGUUGGAGGGGUAACGGCCCACCAAGGCGAUGAUCAGUAGCCGGUCUGAGAGGAUGAACGGCCACAUUGGGACUGAGACACGGCCCAGACUCCUACGGGAGGCAGCAGUGGGGAAUCUUCCGCAAUGGACGAAAGUCUGACGGAGCAACGCCGCGUGAGUGAUGACGGCCUUCGGGUUGUAAAGCUCUGUUAAUCGGGACGAAAGGCCUUCUUGCGAAUAGUUAGAAGGAUUGACGGUACCGGAAUAGAAAGCCACGGCUAACUACGUGCCAGCAGCCGCGGUAAUACAUAGGUGGCAAGCGUUGUCCGGAAUUAUUGGGCGUAAAGCGCGCGCAGGCGGAUUGGUCAGUCUGUCUUAAAAGUUCGGGGCUUAACCCCGUGAUGGGAUGGAAACUGCCAAUCUAGAGUAUCGGAGAGGAAAGUGGAAUUCCUAGUGUAGCUGUGAAGUGCGUAGAUAUUAGGAAGAACACCAGUGGCGAAGGCGACUUUCUGGACGAAAACUGACGCUGAGGCGCGAAAGCCAGGGGAGCGAACGGGAUUAGAUACCCCGGUAGUCCUGGCCGUA